rnacentral:misc_RNA from 1 species
UAGCACUUCCAAGCUGAAAACCAGCCAUGGCAAGUCCGACAGCCCUUGAGCGCUCAGUAGGAGGAAACCAUCUUGCAAUCAUAUUAUUCAUGCAAGGAAGAGCAACCCCUUCGGCAAUUCCUAGCAGCAUCCUCAUGGCAAGUAAUGCCCAUAAUGAUACUUCUGCUGCCCAAGGAGUUAGAAGUGUGGCCAUGGACCAUAAAGCCACACCCCAUGCCAUCACUAACUUACCUCCG